UACGUAGGAUGCAAGCGUUGUCCGGAAUUAUUGGGUUUAAAGGGUGUGUAGGUUGUUAUAUAAGUCAGUGGUGAAAUACAUUUGCUUAACAGAUAGUAAGCCAAUGAUACUGUAUAGCUAGAGUGCGAUAUAGGUGGGCGGAAUUUGUAAUGUAGCGGUGAAAUGCAUAGAUAUUACAAGGAACGUCGAUAGCGAAGGCAGCUCACUGUGUCUGCACUGACACUGAGACACGAAAGCGUGGGUAUCGAACAGG
rnacentral:rRNA from 1 species